GCAGUCGAACGAACUCUGGUAUUGAUUGGUGCUUGCAUCAUGAUUUACAUUUGAGUGAGUGGCGAACUGGUGAGUAACACGUGGGAAACCUGCCCAGAAGCGGGGGAUAACACCUGGAAACAGAUGCUAAUACCGCAUAACAACUUGGACCGCAUGGUCCGAGCUUGAAAGAUGGCUUCGGCUAUCACUUUUGGAUGGUCCCGCGGCGUAUUAGCUAGAUGGUGGGGUAACGGCUCACCAUGGCAAUGAUACGUAGCCGACCUGAGAGGGUAAUCGGCCACAUUGGGACUGAGACACGGCCCAAACUCCUACGGGAGGCAGCAGUAGGGAAUCUUCCACAAUGGACGAAAGUCUGAUGGAGCAACGCCGCGUGAGUGAAGAAGGGUUUCGGCUCGUAAAACUCUGUUGUUAAAGAAGAACAUAUCUGAGAGUAACUGUUCAGGUAUUGACGGUAUUUAACCAGAAAGCCACGGCUAACUACGUGCCAGCAGCCGCGGUAAUACGUAGGUGGCAAGCGUUGUCCGGAUUUAUUGGGCGUAAAGCGAGCGCAGGCGGUUUUUUAAGUCUGAUGUGAAAGCCUUCGGCUCAACCGAAGAAGUGCAUCGGAAACUGGGAAACUUGAGUGCAGAAGAGGACAGUGGAACUCCAUGUGUAGCGGUGAAAUGCGUAGAUAUAUGGAAGAACACCAGUGGCGAAGGCGGCUGUCUGGUCUGUAACUGACGCUGAGGCUCGAAAGUAUGGGUAGCAAACAGGAUUAGAUACCCUGGUAGUCCAUACCGUAAACGAUGAAUGCUAAGUGUUGGAGGGUUUCCGCCCUUCAGUGCUGCAGCUAACGCAUUAAGCAUUCCGCCUGGGGAGUACGGCCGCAAGGCUGAAACUCAAAGGAAUUGACGGGGGCCCGCACAAGCGGUGGAGCAUGUGGUUUAAUUCGAAGCUACGCGAAGAACCUUACCAGGUCUUGACAUACUAUGCAAAUCUAAGAGAUUAGACGUUCCCUUCGGGGACAUGGAUACAGGUGGUGCAUGGUUGUCGUCAGCUCGUGUCGUGAGAUGUUGGGUUAAGUCCCGCAACGAGCGCAACCCUUAUUAUCAGUUGCCAGCAUUAAGUUGGGCACUCUGGUGAGACUGCCGGUGACAAACCGGAGGAAGGUGGGGAUGACGUCAAAUCAUCAUGCCCCUUAUGACCUGGGCUACACACGUGCUACAAUGGAUGGUACAACGAGUUGCGAACUCGCGAGAGUAAGCUAAUCUCUUAAAGCCAUUCUCAGUUCGGAUUGUAGGCUGCAACUCGCCUACAUGAAGUCGGAAUCGCUAGUAAUCGCGGAUCAGCAUGCCGCGGUGAAUACGUUCCCGGGCCUUGUACACACCGCCCGUCACACCAUGAGAGUUUGUAACACCCAAAGUCGGUGGGGUAAC
rnacentral:rRNA from 1 species